rnacentral:rRNA from 1 species
UGGGGAAUUUUGGACAAUGGGCGAAAGCCUGAUCCAGCAAUGCCGCGUGUGUGAAGAAGGCCUUCGGGUUGUAAAGCACUUUUGUCCGGAAAGAAAUCCUUGGCUCUAAUACAGUCGGGGGAUGACGGUACCGGAAGAAUAAGCACCGGCUAACUACGUGCCAGCAGCCGCGGUAAUACGUAGGGUGCAAGCGUUAAUCGGAAUUACUGGGCGUAAAGCGUGCGCAGGCGGUUUGCUAAGACCGAUGUGAAAUCCCCGGGCUCAACCUGGGAACUGCAUUGGUGACUGGCAGGCUAGAGUAUGGCAGAGGGGGGUAGAAUUCCACGUGUAGCAGUCGAAAUGCGUAGAGAUGUGGAGGAAUACCGAUGGCGAAGGCAGCCCCCUGGGCCAAUACUGACGCUCAUGCA